rnacentral:misc_RNA from 1 species
UUGAAUAAACCUGAUGUGGUUGUUGCUGGCUCUCUCGGGAGCAUGUGCACGCCCGUCAUCUUUAUAUCUCCACCUGUGCACCUUUUGUAGACCUGGGGAUUGAGCAAUCAAUCGUUGGGCCUACGUUUAUCAUAUACCCCAUAGUAUGUAUUAGAAUGUCUCAAUGGGCUUCGUGCCUAUAAACACUAUA